GGCAGCACCAGCCUCUGCCCAGUGUGGACCAUAGCUCAUAAGUUACAUAGGAAACAGAGACAACAAAUUAUUCCUUGGAAAAGAUAUAAGGGGUUUCUGCUUUUGCAUCUUGCUCAUUUUCUCUUGCUGCCACCAUGUAAGAAGUACCUUUUGCCUCUCUCCAUGAUUUUGAGGCCUCUCCAGUCAUGUGGAACUAUGACAUUAGAAGUGGAACCCAAAGUAGAGCCUCUUGCAACCCCCAGGAGCACCGAGAGACCAAGAAAAAUACCUACCAGGCCCAUUGUGUUCAUUGCUCUCUUGCAGAAACUGG